rnacentral:rRNA from 1 species
CGAGUCGGCCUGCGCGGAAGAUGUAACGGGGCUAAACCAUGCACCGAAGCUGCGGCAGCGACGCUUAUGCGUUGUUGGGUAGGGGAGCGUUCUGUAAGCCUGUGAAGGUGUACUGUGAGGUAUGCUGGAGGUAUCAGAAGUGCGAAUGCUGACAUAAGUAACGAUAAAGCGGGUGAAAAGCCCGCUCGCCGGAAGACCAAGGGUUCCUGUCCAACGUUAAUCGGGGCAGGGU